rnacentral:rRNA from 1 species
AUUGAACGCUGGCGGCAUGCCUAACACAUGCAAGUCGAGCGGAAACAGGUCGCUUGCUGCUGGCGUCAGGGGAGCGGGGGUGUGAAAUACCUGGGAGUCUCCCGGCGUGGGGGGUAUCACGGCGGGAGAUGUGCGCUUAUAGCACACGCUUCAUGGAUGAGAAAAGGGGGGCGCUUGGGAUCUCGCGCUUGGAGAGGCGGCUAGGUCGGAUUAGCUAGUUGGUGGGGUAAGGGCAUACCAAGGCGACGAUGUGUAGCUGGUCUGAGAGGAAGAUCAGCCACACUGGAACUGAGACACGGCCCAGACUCCUACGGGAGGCAGCAGUGGGGAAUAUUGGACAAUGGGCGAAAGCCUGAUCCAGCCAUGCCGCGUGCAGGAAGAAGGCCUUCGGAUUGUAAAGUACUUUUAUGCGGGACGAAGAGCAUUAGGCUAAUACCUUGCGGACAUGACGGUACCGAAAGAAUAAGCACCGGCUAACUACGUG